rnacentral:rRNA from 1 species
GACAGAGGGUGCGAACGUUGUUCAGAAUUACUGGGCGUAAAGCGUGUGUAGGCGGCCAAGAAAGUCGGAUGUGAAAGCCCUGGGCUCAACCCAGGAAGUGCACCUGAUACUGCUUGGCUAGAGUAUCGGAGAGGUUGGUGGAAUUCUCGGUGUAGAGGUGAAAUUCGUAGAUAUCGAGAGGAACACCGGUGGCGAAGGCGGCCAACUGGACGAAUACUGACGCUGAGACACGAAAGCGUGGGGAGCAAACAGG